rnacentral:rRNA from 1 species
UGAAGUGUGGACGCCAGUCUGCAUGGAGCCGGCCUUGAAAUACCACCCUUUAAUGUUUGAUGUUCUAACGUGGACCCGUGAUCCGGGUUGCGGACAGUGUCUGGUGGGUAGUUUGACUGGGGCGGUCUCCUCCUAAAGAGUAACGGAGGAGCACGAAGGUUGGCUAAUCCUGGUCGGACAUCAGGAGGUUAGUGCAAUGGCAUAAGCCAGCUUGACUGCGAGCGUGACGGCGCGAGCAGGUGCGAAAGCAGGUCAUAGUGAUCCGGUGGUUCUGAAUGGAAGGGCCAUCGCUCAACGGAUAAAAGGUACUCCGGGGAUAACAGGCUGAUACCGCCCAAGAGUUCAUAUCGACGGCGGUGUUUGGCACCUCGAUGUCGGCUCAUCACAUCCUGGGGCUGAAGUAGGUCCCAAGGGUAUGGCUGUUCGCCAUUUAAAGUGGUACGCGAGCUGGGUUUAGAACGUCGUGAGACAGUUCGGUCCCUAUCUGCCGUGGGCGCUGGAGAACUGAGGGGGGCUGCUCCUAGUACGAGAGGACCGGAGUGGACGCAUCACUGGUGUUCGGGUUGUCAUGCCAAUGGCACUGCCCGGUAGCUAAAUGCGGAAGAGAUAAGUGCUGAAAGCAUCUAAGCACGAAACUUGCCCCGAGAUGAGUUCUCCCUGAGACUUAGAGUCUCCUGAAGGAACGUUGAAGACGACGACGUUGAUAGGCCGGGUGUGUAAGCGCAGCGAUGCGUUGAGCUAACCGGUACUAAUGAACCGUGAGGCUUAACCUUACAACGCCGAAG